GACGAACGCUGGCGGCGUGCUUAACACAUGCAAGUCGAACGAUGAAGCCGGAGCUUGCUCUGGUGAAUUAGUGGCGAACGGGUGAGUAACACGUGAGUAACCUGCCCUUGACUCUGGGAUAACUGCUAGAAAUGGUAGCUAAUACCGGAUACGACCCUCGGCGGCAUCGCCAGGGGGUGGAAAGAAUUUCGGUCAAGGAUGGACUCGCGGCCUAUCAGCUAGUUGGUGAGGUAACGGCUCACCAAGGCGACGACGGGUAGCCGGCCUGAGAGGGGGACCGGCCACACUGGGACUGAGACACGGCCCAGACUCCUACGGGAGGCAGCCGUGGGGAAUAUUGCACAAUGGGCGCAAGCCUGAUGCAGCAACGCCGCGUGAGGGAUGACGGCCUUCGGGUUGUAAACCUCUUUUAGUAGGGAAGAAGCGAAAGUGACGGUACCUGCAGAAAAAGCACCGGCUAACUACGUGCCAGCCGCCGCGGUAA
rnacentral:rRNA from 1 species